rnacentral:misc_RNA from 1 species
GAUGAAGAACGCAGCGAAAUGCGAUAAGUAAUGUGAAUUGCAGAAUUCAGUGAAUCAUCGAAUCUUUGAACGCACAUUGCGCCCGCCAGUAUUCUGGCGGGCAUGCCUGUUCGAGCGUCAUUUCAACCAUCAAGCCCCAGGCUUGUGUUGGGGACCUGCGGCUGCCGCAGGCCCUAAAAACCAGUGGCGGGCUCGCUGUCACACCGGGCGUAGUAGAUUUUAUCUCGCUCAGGGCGUGCUGCGGGUUCCGGCCGUUAAAAAGCCUUUUUUACCCAAGGUUGACCUCGGAUCAGGUAGGAAGACCCGCUGAACUUAAGCAUAUCAAUAAGCGGAGGA